rfam:Oryza sativa (indica cultivar-group) chromosome 3, whole genome shotgun sequence.
AAUAAGUUCAUUUAUAUGUUUAUGUGUGCAAUGUUUGACCGUAUGUCUUAUUUGCUCUUUUUAUGAAUUACUAGUAUUUUUGUUGUUAUUAGAUGAUAAGAUAUAAAUAGUACUUUAUGCAUGACUUGUUUUUUAAAAAUUUUCAGAUAAGACGGACGGUCAAAAGUUAGAUAUAGAAACCUACCAAUAAACUUAUU